GGCAAGAAUGGACAAUUCAAGUGGUGCCAGACAAAACCCUGCUGCUAAUGACAUCACAGAUGAUGAAAUGGGUUUAGAGGCUGUGACUGGUGACGUUGUGUACAGACCCUGGAGAAGUCACACACUCACUCAUGGUUCAAGUCCACCAACUCAAAUAAACGGUGGGGUUGGGACAACGACUGAGGGUUCGGUAGCACUUCAAGCUAUCUGAGAAAGUAUGACAAAUGGCAUCACUGCUGUAGGCGUAACACCACCAACUUCGAAUGGUGGAAACAAGCCUGCAGAGAGUUCCACCAUAUUUAUUAUGCAACCUGAAAUGCUCAUACUAAAUAAAACCCCUCAUUAUGUGGAGAUAAAUAGUUUCUGUAUCCUUCUGGGGCUGGGCUGAAGUCCUGCUUUGUGGCAUUGACUCGCAUAAGUGCCCAUCAAAUUUUGAGACCAUAGGAACUAUGAGCCCCCCUGAUCUGUCCCUCAACAUUGACUGGACUGAUUCAAAGCUGAAUCCUUAUGCAAAGUUUCAGAUAAGAAUGGUCAGUGUCCCUCAGGGGAGGGAGCCUGAUCUUCUGGCCACACCUGUUUUGACAAAUAGGGAUCUUUAUUCAGGUGGUCACGGAUUAAAUGCAAUGUAAGCAAGAAAAUCAGGUGUCACAUCUCCAUCUGAAGAAGAGGUGGAAGGGUCGGCAACACUACCAGACAGACCUAAAGAAAUGAAGAUUUUCAUUUCUUUUUCUAAUGAAGUACAGUAUUGUGAAAUUAUUCUGCAUUCAUAUUUAUAGUAGGGGUGAUAUAUAUAGACUUUCUCCCAGAUUGACUGGUCUGUGUAUGUUUUAAUUCAUGUAUAUAAUCAGCAGCAUACUGGUGAAUAUUUUUAGGUUUUGAACAAAUGUUCGAAUUCCAGUGGGAAUGAAUAAAUUGGAUU